AAACUUUCAACAACGGAUCUCUUGGUUCUGGCAUCGAUGAAGAACGCAGCGAAAUGCGAUAAGUAGUGUGAAUUGCAGAAUUCAGUGAAUCAUCGAAUCUUUGAACGCACAUUGCGCCCUUCGGUAUUCCGUUGGGCAUGCCUGUUCGAGCGUCAUUUAAACCUUCAAGCUAUGCUUGGUGUUGGGUGUUUGUCCCGCCUCAGCGCGUGGACUCGCCUCAAAUUCAUUGGCAGCCGGUAUGUUGGCUUCGUGCGCAGCACAUUGCAAACGGAUUCAACAGACCCCCUCCCACAAGCCUUUUUUUUAC
rnacentral:rRNA from 1 species